UUUGAAAGUGAAAAGAAAAUUAUACGAAUUCUAGGUUUAAAAAUAUAAAAUGAAAAGAGUUAGCCCCAAAAGCCACAAACUCAGGGCUAAGCCCUGCCGCCAGGAAUAGCAGGCCAUAAAGAUAAAGAAAAGGAAUGCAAGAACCAGCUCAGGCUAUCGAGGACUGAGCCAUAAACCAUCCAAAGACAUCCCCCCAGCUUACUCAGAGUCAUACUUUAACCAGAUGUCCUCCAGACCCUGAUAAGCCCCUACUUGUGCUCUUCAGCCAUUGUGUCCUACAGAGAGCAUUCCAAGAAACCGGACAGCCCAAGCCUAACCAGAGGUGUUUCAAAUACAAAUGCUCCAUCAGUUUUGACAAACGUUUAAAAAUAAUGAGGACCUGAAGACCCUACCCUUCUCCUGAUUUAGUAGCUCUGUUCCAGGAACCAGGGGGCCAUAAAACCUUCUGGCGUCCCCUUAUCUCCUGGAGCCAUAAAACAAUCCUGUAACUUGUGGUGCAUUCCCCUUUGACAUCCCCCAUCCCCUGGUGCUCACAGCCUCUGCCUUUAAAUACUCUUUUUCCCAGCCUCUCGGGGUCGACACCUCUGUCUCCUGCGUGGGAUAUGUGUCGGCCCGGAGAUCUCUGUAAUAGGUCUCCGUAAUAAACCUCGCCUUUGCUUAUUACAUCCAAAAUGGUCUCUCUGUGUCUGGGGUCCGCGAUUUCCCAAGACUUGAGUAAGGGUCUCUCUGCGUGGGAUCUUUCAUAUUUAUGGGGGCUCGUCCGGGAUCUGCGCGACUACCCCAGACUCCGAAGACCCCUUGGAGUAACUGUUACAGGUCUUCUUUACCACCGAGGAAAGACGGAAUCCUACUAGAGGCCAGAAAAAGUGUUCCAGAGAUGGAUGGAAGGCCCUCACUUCUGCCUGCUCUCUUCAGACGCCUAAAGGUAGGGAGUGCUCCAGGUCUGCUGCCAGGCUCCAAGGGUGGGUCUCUGAGGGGCUAAAAAAAUGCCCCACCAAUCUGGCUAAGAUAAAAAAAGGAUAAAGAAAAUGUUACAGAAAUUUAAAGGGUUAAGUUAAGUUGCUGAGAGUUAAUAUAAGUUACAGAGAAAAUAAGGUUAAAAAAGAAAGAGGUAAAAAGAACAGAAAGCUAGAGAAGAAAAGAGACAAAAAGAAGAGGAAGUUAGAGAGCUAAAGAGAGAUAAAAGACGAGAGAGGAACAUAUACUGGCCACAGUAGUUAGGGAACCUAGGAAGAUAGUACCUGGCAACAGAAGAGAAUUCCUGGCUAAAGAUCAGUGUGCCUAAUACAAAGAAAAAGGACACUGGGUCAGGGACUGCCCAAGAAAGAACAAGAGGGGCCACUGGAGAGCUUCUUGGUCCUAGAGUGCUGGACAGGGACCCAAUGCUCUGUGCUCCUAUGCUCCAGUGGGCCAGUAUCCAAAGACCUUUGGUACAGGGGCCUACUGACAACAAACAAUACUUAUGGACUGCCCGAAGAACAGUGGACCUUGGCGUGGGCCGGGUAACCCACCCACUAAUUCAUGGUCAUCCCUGACUGCCCCUAUCCCUUGCUCAUGAGAAAAUUGCUCUCCAAAUUGGCUUGCGUGGGCUGAAAUGGCUGGAUGAGGCCAUGUGUAUACAUAUCUAUAGACUGUGUAUGUGGAGCUUAAGACCUGUCUCAGUACACCAGUAACUGAUGCUGGGAGUUGAAUGGCUUAGUGCUUUUCUGCCUGAAACACACCGUUCCUGCCAGCCGGGCACUAACAAUUAUCACCCAAUCCAGGACUUAAACUGUGAUAGAGUGGCUGAUAGAGUGUCCAAAGAUGGGACCACUGGUCAGCUGCCAUGGACUAGAUUCUCCACCGGUUGGGGACAAUCUGGUCACCUUGCUGCCCAAUCCGGACCUGGAGCCACCACAGCACGAGUGUCAAACACUGACAGAAGCACAUGGGUGGAGGAAAGACCUCUGCGACUGGCUGAUUGAUCCCUGCUGAAAGCCGAGGACCUUGUCCACAGACAGGAACAGUUCUCUUCAUGAAUGAAGGUCAGAGACAAGUGGGUGCUGCCAUGGUGGACAACACAAUGUCAUCUAGAAUGGCUGAACCUCUACCCCCCCAGCACAUCAGCGCCACAGAUGCCUUUGCCAUCUCUUGGAUGCCCUGAUGAAGCCAACAACUGUGAGUACUAUUCAUUGCCCAGGAAAACAGGAGGGAAGAGAUUCAGUGACAUGGGGCAGUGACAAAACAGAUAAAGUGGCUCGGGAAAUGGCUAUACAGGAGCCUAUCCUGGUUACAGGCCUGCAAGAGACAGCCACUGAGAACUAGGAUUAGACUAAGGGAUGGCCUCACUUAGAAAAGGCCCAAAUUGCUUAAAAGAUAAAGGACAAUGGCACACUUGAGGGGAAGCUAUACUCCCCAAAGAACAAACAAAAGACUCACUUUGCCAAAUUAAAAAAUAGACUCAUUUAAGAGAUAAGAAGUUUGUCCAAAUAGUUAAAAUAUAUAUAAUAGACUUUAAGAUUUUAGCCAAGAGAGACAAUAAAAAAGUAUAAAAUACGUCAAUAAAUAAAUGCUUAACAAACAGGACAAAGAGACCUAGAGAGUUUAACGAAAAGUCGAAGUGAACUUCACUGAGAUAAAACCAGAAAAAUAUAAUCUCCUAGUGCUUGUAGAUACUUUUUCAGAAAUAGACAGAAGCUUUCCUCACCAAACGAGAGACGGCCUCUGCAAUCAUCAAGAAGAUACUGAAAGAAAUCUUCCCCAGGUCUGGAAUGCCCAAGGUAAUCUGGUCAGACAACGGUCCUACUUUCGUUGCCAAGGUAAGCCAGGGUGUGGCCAAAUAUUUAGAGGUCGAUUGGAAAUUACAUUAUAUUUACAGACCUCAAAGUUCAAGACAGGUAGAGUAAAUAAACAGAACUCUAAAAGAGACCCUAAACAAAUUGACCAUGGAGACUGGCACAGACUGGGUGACACUCCUUCCCUCUUGCUCUCUUCAGAGCAAGAAAUACCCCUUCCAGACUCAGCUUUACCCCCUUUGAGAUCUUAUAUGGGGCCUAAGCUCCCCUGACUGUAUUAGAUGAUGUUACUGAACCAACAUGUCAUAGUGCCAUAGUAAUAAUGAUUUGUGUGCCAGGCUAAAAGACCUACAGGUGAUACAGAAAGAAAUCUGCUCACAGCUGACAGCAGCCUAUGCCCCGGAGACCCCUGAGACAUCCCAUCAGUUCCAGGUCGGAAGCAGCUACACUGAGCCCAGACACUCGAGCCUCGCUGGAAAGGACCGUACCUGGUGCUGCUGACCACCCUGACAGCCGUCAAUUCUCAGCCCUCACCAGCCGUGUACUAGCUGUUAGGGCUGAGAGCUGGGACCUAGAGGGAAAUUCAGUCAUGUUUGUCCUGGGUUCUAUCAAGAUAGGUGUGGGAUAGGCUUGAUUUCUAUUACAAAUGAUGUAACAUUACAUAUGUUAGUACUCCUAACACUUCUUGGGAUUGUGCCUCAGGGAUCACAACCUAUAUAAGUUUAGAAGUUCUAAAAGACAGUCAUGACCUUGGUGUAUAGGUUCAGAUAGUGUCCAGAUUAGAAUCCUGAUGCUAAAGACUUUUUAGCUGACCUCCAAAAAUACCUAACCUCCCUCUCAGAGAUAGUCCUUCAAAAUAAAAAAAGAUUAGACCUGAUAUUCCUUAAAGAAGGAGCCUGUGUGCUACACUGAAAGAAUGUUGCUUCUAUACAGACCAUUCAGGAAUAAUUAAAGACUCCAUAAAUAAACUUAGAAAAAGGUUAGACAAAAGACAGACAGAAAAACACAUCAGAGAUAGUUCGAGAGCUAGUUUAGUAGAUCUCCCUGGAUGACUACCCUACUCUCUGCUACAGCUGGGCCAUUAUUAAUAAUUUUCUUGGUUUUAGUUUUUGGCUCCUGCGUGACAAACAGGUUAAUUGCUUUUGUUAAAAAUCGAGUGGGUGCUGUGCGGUUAAUGGUUGUGAGACAACAGUACCAGUCAGUUAGGACAACUGGUGAGACCAAAUACGAGACUUGAUAUCAAAAUUCUAAGAUUAGAAUUAUUUAGUAGGAGAAGACGGGAAUGAAAAGAAAAUUAUACGAAUUCUAGGUUUAAAAAUAUAAAAUGAAAAGAGUUAGCCCCAAAAGCCACAAACUCAGGGCUAAGCCCUGCCGCCAGGAAUAGCAGGCCAUAAAGAUAAAGAAAAGGAAUGCAAGAACCAGCUCAGGCUAUCGAGGACUGAGCCAUAAACCAUCCAAAGACAUCCCCCCAGCUUACUCAGAGUCAUACUUUAACCAGAUGUCCUCCAGACCCUGAUAAGCCCCUACUUGUGCUCUUCAGCCAUUGUGUCCUACAGAGAGCAUUCCAAGAAACCGGACAGCCCAAGCCUAACCAGAGGUGUUUCAAAUACAAAUGCUCCAUCAGUUUUGACAAACGUUUAAAAAUAAUGAGGACCUGAAGACCCUACCCUUCUCCUGAUUUAGUAGCUCUGUUCCAGGAACCAGGGGGCCAUAAAACCUUCUGGCGUCCCCUUAUCUCCUGGAGCCAUAAAACAAUCCUGUAACUUGUGGUGCAUUCCCCUUUGACAUCCCCCAUCCCCUGGUGCUCACAGCCUCUGCCUUUAAAUACUCUUUUUCCCAGCCUCUCGGGGUCGACACCUCUGUCUCCUGCGUGGGAUAUGUGUCGGCCCGGAGAUCUCUGUAAUAGGUCUCCGUAAUAAACCUCGCCUUUGCUUAUUACAUCCAAAA